GCGGGUGUAGUUUCGUGGUAAAACUACAGCCUUCCAAGCUGUUGUCGCGAGUUCGAUUCUCGUCACCCGCU
rnacentral:tRNA from 1 species